rnacentral:misc_RNA from 1 species
GAUGAAGAACGUAGCGAAAUGCGAUAAGUAAUGUGAAUUGCAGAAUUCAGUGAACCAUCGAAUCUUUGAACGCACAUUGCGCCCGGCAGUAAUCUGCCGGGCAUGCCUGUCCGAGCGUCAUUUCUGCCCUCGAGCGAGUCCAGCAUCUAGGUGCUGGGCCCGCCCGGCGUUGGGGCACUACGGGAAGCCCUGUGCUGUCCCCCGUAGGCCCCGAAAUGAAGUGGCGGUCCUGCCGCGGCGCCCCCUGCGUAGUAUAACAGCUCGCUUCGGGACCCGGUGGAGGCCUGCCGUCAAACCUUACUCUCUAAGUUUGACCUCGGAUCAGGUAGGGUUACCCGCUGAACUUAAGCAUAUCAAAAGCGGAGGA